GGAUGAGGAUCAAGCUCCAAAGAUCCUGCCACCCCAGUCCCACUCGUGGGGGCGGGGGAGGGCGGGGAGAGAGAGCCGGGAGGAAAAGGCAGGAGGAACCCCAGGUCCAGCACGGGCCGGGUCGCGGGAGGGGGCGCUGUCUGCACUUCCGGCAGGCGGCGGGAGAAAAGAAAAUCAGCUGGAAAAGGUUGGAGGGGGCAGGGAUGGAAAGGCGGCUGUCCAGGGACCCUGGCUAAGUCCCCUCCCUCCAAGCCGCAGGAGGGCCACGCUCCAGCCUCCUGCUCCCGCCGAGUUAGGCCGCAGCAUCGGGUCCUCCUUGGAGCUCCCUCGGUCGCGCCGCAGCCUCAGUCAGCCCUCCCGCUUGAGGCUGGGCUUCGCCGCCUCCUGCCGUUCUCCUCCGGCGGGUACACUCACCGCAUCCUCCCAGUUCUGCCUGUUGCUGGGGCCGGAGAAGUUUUCUGAAAGUUCAUCCUUGAGCAUAUAGCUAUUCUGCAUAGCUGCUCAGUAGAGAUGCUGUGAGCUGAGCAGCUUUCUCUACCACACUUGUCUGCCAUGAUGUUCUGCCUCACUCUGGCUCAGAGCAAUGGAAUCAACCAACCAUCGACUGAGACCUCUGAAACCAUGAACCAAAAUAAACUUCUCCUAUUCAAAAUUGUUAUUGUUGGAUAUUUUGGCCACAGCAAUGAAAAACACAUGAGGCAUUAUUAUUAUUAAUGAACACACUAGGUAUU